UAGGGAAUAUUGCGCAAUGGAGGAAACUCUGACGCAGCGACGCCGCGUGAAGGAUGAAGUAUUUCGGUAUGUAAACUUCGAAAGAAUAGGAAGAAUAAAUGACGGUACUAUUUAUAAGGUCCGGCUAACUACGUGCCAGCAGCCGCGGUAAUACGUAGGGACCAAGCGUUGUUCGGAUUUACUGGGCGUAAAGCGUGCGUAGUCGGUAUUGAGAGUCACGGGUGAAAUCCCAGGGCUUAACCCUGGAACUGCCUGUGAGACCUCAGUACUAGAGUGUGAGAGGGGAUAGUGGAAUACCCAGUGUAGCGGUGAAAUGCGUAGAUAUUAGGAAGAACACCAGUGGCGAAGGCGGCCAACUGGCUCGAUACUGACGCUGAGGUGCGAAAGCGUGGGGAGCAAACAGGAUUAGAUACCCACGUAGUCCCUGAGCGG
rnacentral:rRNA from 1 species